rnacentral:rRNA from 1 species
AAAGGACUUUGAAAAGAGAGUUAAAUAGGGCGUGAAACUGCACACUGAAAAGCGAAUGAGUACACAUGGGUUCUCGCUACUAUUCAGGUGCGUAAGUCAGACAGGUAGUUGAGCGUCAAUGCUCAUCAUAUCGGUUGUUUUACGCACUGCAGUUGGUGGCCUGACGUUCUGCUUGGCUUUGUAACAGCUGCAGCCACAGUGAAGUACACCUCUUCCUUGUGGAGAUGGAUGUGUCACUAGUAGCCUUAUUAUGUUAACAAUAGAGAAAUUCUGUUCGUGGACAGCUGUGUUUACUAGAUGUGAACAUAGUCGUCAGCUGAGACGAAGCUUUGGAUACUCUAAUUCACAUAACCUAAAAGUGGCUGUUUCGUUGAACGUGUUUUUGCACGGGAUAUGAUUCGGUUUCAUCGGUUAUGUGAAUGAUUAAAGCAGAUUGUGUUGUGGCAUCAUUUGAACCGUCUUGAAACACGGGCUAAGGAGUUCAACAGAUGCGCGAGUUUGCUGGUUUUUCGAAACCAUACGGCUAAGUUAACGCGACUUUGUGUAUAAUGGAGAGAACUCACUUACUUUCGAGUAUAAUGAGGUCACCUCCUAUGAUGGAUGGCAUAUCAAGUACCGGUUGCUGUUCGCAGUUGAGCGCAUAUGCUGAGACCCGAAAGAUGGUGAACUAUGCCUGAGUAGGAUGAAGCCGGAGGAAACUCUGGUGGAGGUCCGAAGCGCUUUUGACGUGCAAAUCAAUCGUCAGACUUGGGUAUAGGGGCGAAAGACUAAUCGAACCAUCUAGUAGCUGGUUCCCUUCGAAGUUUCCCCCAGGAAAGCUGGUGCCAUGUUUGACAGUUUUAUCUGGUAAAGCGAAUGAUUAGAGGCAUUGGGGACGAAUUGUCCUCGACCUAUUCUCAAACUUUAAAUGGGUAAUGUACCGUUGUACUUCUUGAUAUUAAUGAGUGCUCGGUCAAAUGCAAUGGCGCCAAGUGGGCCAUUUUUGGUAAGCAGAACUGGCGAUGUGGGAUGAACCAAACGUUGAGCUAGGAUGCCCAAAGUGCUUCUCAUGAGAUACCAUGAAAGGUGUCAGUCGAUAUUGACAGCAGGACGGUGGCCGCAGAAGUAGGAAUCCGCUAAGGAGUGUGUAACAACUCACCUGCCGAAUCGACUGGUCCUGAAAAUGGAUGGCGCUGGAGACGUAUAUCCAUGCUCGACCGUCAAUGCCAACGAAAGCGAUUGCUAUAUGGCUUGACGUGUAGAAGGGCGAUUGCCGUGGCGUCGAAACUUGCACCGUGAGGUGGGGUAGAGCUGCGGCAUGUGCAGAUCUUGGUGGUAGUAGCAAGUAUUCAAAUGAGAGCAUUGAAGACUGAAGUGGAGUAAGGUUCCAUGUGAACAGCAUUUGGACAUGGAUCAGCCGAUCCUAAGAGAACGUGUAAGUUCGUGAUUAAGCGCGUCGCCUUGUGCGUCGCAAUCGAAAGGGAAUNCGGGUUAAUAUUCCCGAGCCAGGAUACGGAAUGAGCCUGAUUAAUCGAAAGUACCUUGUGUGCUUUUGACUUCAGGCAAAAGCGGCAACGCCAACAAACCCAGAGAUUAACUAUGCGAAGUCCGGGGAAGAGUUUUCUCUUCUUUGUAAGGGAUGUUAUCCCUGGAAACAGAUUGUCUGGCGAUAGGGUACGCAUCCCGUAAUGCAACGCGAUUCCUGCGAUGUACCGUGCGCUUCGUAUAGUGCUUGAAAAUCUGGGAGCGAGUUUGUUCAGGCCGUACCUGUUCGUACUGAUUUCCGCAGCAGGUCUCCAAGGUGAGCAGCCUCUAGUCGAUGGGACAAAGUAGACAAGGGAAGUCGGCAAAUUAGAUCCGUAACUUCGGAAAAAGGAUUGGCUCUAAAGGCUGAGUUGGUCGGGCGGUUGCGUAAAGCUGGGAGCGAUGCUUUGACUCUGUCUCAGACUCCAUACUCGCAAGGGAUAUGUAAUCGGCGGCGGAGCUUAGUAUUUGCUCACUGUGGACCGCGGUCGCUAUGCCACCCAUGCGGUGUCAAAAUUCAUUUUCGAGCCGUGCGGUGUGGAUCCGAUCAGCGUUUAACAGCUGACCUAGAACUGGUAUGGACAAGGGGAAUCCAACUGUUUAAUUAAAACAAAGCAUUGCGAUAGCUGUAAUCGGUGUUGACGCGAUGUGAUUUCUGCCCAGUGCUCUGAAUGUUAAAGUGAAGGAACUCAUAAAGCGC